rnacentral:rRNA from 1 species
UACGGGGGGGGCGAGCGUUAUUCGGAAUUAUUGGGCGUAAAGGGCGCGUAGGCGGCCUGGUAAGUCAAAGGUGAAAUCCCUCGGCUCAACUGAGGAACUGCCUUUGAAACUGUCAGGCUUGAGGCCGGGAGGGGGUAGCGGAAUUCCCAGUGUAGCGGUGAAAUGCGUAGAUAUUGGGAGGAACACCAGUGGCGAAGGCGGCUACCUGGACCGGUUCUGACGCUGAGGCGCGAAAAGCGUGGGGAGCAAACAGG